GACGUAGGUGGCAAGCGUUGUCCGGAUUUAUUGGGUUUAAAGGGUGCGUAGGCGGUCUAUUAAGUCAGUGCUGAAAUAUCCCGGCUUAACCGGGAGGGUGGCAUUGAUACUGAUGGACUUGAGUGCAGUCGAGGUAGGCGGAAUUGACGGUGUAGCGGUGAAAUGCUUAGAUAUCGUCAAGAACACCGAUAGUGAAGACAGCUUACUAGACUGUAACUGACGCUGAGGCACGAAAGUGUGGGGAUCAAACAGG
rnacentral:rRNA from 1 species